rfam:Angiostrongylus cantonensis strain Taiwan genome assembly, scaffold: ACAC_scaffold0002437
ACAUUGACGGUUGAGUGGUAGAAUGCUCGUCUGCCACGCGGGCGACCCGGGUUCGAUUUCCGGCCAGUGCA